CUUGUAGUUCCUCCGGGGAGUCUCGGGCGUGCCCCGAGAGGACUGUCCAGGCGGCUCCAGCGGAUAAAAGACCUGCUAUGGGCGGGGUGACAGGGUGGAGGCGUUUCCACCCAAGCUGGGAAAGGGGGCCCCGUUUCGAACUCUGCUGGUCGAGCCGCCGGAACUUAACUUUGUUAUUUCUUUGUGUGCGGGCGCCUUCCAAAUCCAGGACCUCAGAAUCAGAGCCCCGUAGUUCCCGCAUCUCUUCCGCCGAGACCUGGAGCAGAGAUGCUUUCUUUCCUUGGCGCUGCUGUGGCGCAGCCUACGGGUUAUCUGCAGAGUGCAUUAUCCAGCUUCUCCCCGAGGCCGUGCCCAGCACCACUAUAACCCCCUCCCGCAGCCCCUCAGUCACAGAGCUGAGAAAGAAUGGUUACCAUGCUAACUCGAACCUCACUCGUGCCCGCUUCUUCACGCCACACAGACCAGAGCCAAAUACAUUUUUCUCUGCUACCAAGUAUAUAUAAUAUCGGGACUUUCUAGCUGGUAAAGACCAAGUGAAGAGAUGUGUGAGAUUUUUUUCGAGCUGGCAAAAAGGAGACACUAUCCAGGAGACUAGGCUUUAAGGAAGCUGUGAGGAAAGACGGCAGCAUCCAUUCCCAGAAUUCCUGACAGACUGGACUGCGAACACCCGUCCCUGCCUCCCAGGCUUCUGCUGAGUCCCAGGGCAGGGCUCCCUGCUGCUGCCUCUGUCACUAUCAGAUCCACAGAAAGAUAGAGAAGAGGGUGGGGCGCUGUGAUGGCUCUCUCUCCUCCACACCUGGGGAGGCUGCUUCACCCUCAAGCUCUGGGGUACUGGCAGAUGUUGUACUAACCUGAAAUUAAAAUCAUCUGUGCAGAAGCAUAUUUACCCAGAAUUCUGAAUGAACAUUCUGUAUAUUGUAUUUUUGAGAAAAAGACUAAUGUCAAGUAAAUAAGCUAACUGGCAUUUUUUGCUCUGUAUUGUUCUGUAUUUUGAAUGAAUUAUAGGCUAGGUUAGAAGGUCACAUCACACCCAGGCUAAUUUCCCACGUUGACAUUUAAAAUGCUGUAAAAAUGAUCUACACAAUGAAAUGUUUUUACAGAUAAAUUAUUUAAAUUUCUUGAGGGCAUGAAUUAUAUUUACAUUGUAUCCCUAAUGACUAACACAGGCUUGUCAUAUAUUAGCCACAUAGUGACAAAUAUGUUUGC